AUUGUCUGGUUUCUCUUCAAACGAAUAAGUCUUUUGCCUUUUAUGAAAGAUUUCCGUGGAGUGGAACAGUUAUGAGUCAGUAACCAAAUUUUUUGAGGCCUUGCAUAUGCAGGGCU
rnacentral:snRNA from 1 species